rnacentral:lncRNA from 1 species
GCGGCAGGGAUAUGUGCUUAUACGUACCAUGUCCCUCUGUCACUUUGAUUUAAGUCAGGGGUCGAGCAUGGGUCGCUAUCAUACAUUUGUAAAAUAUUAUUUAACACCUGAUAUAUCUUCCAAUCUUCCACACAUUGUAAUCGAUGCAGGGCCUAAACACAUACAUGAGGAUGAACAGGGGGCUCAUUUUUCUACCACGCUGUGCUGGUGAGGUAAAAAGUGGUCCUUUUUUCACUCUUCUUGAUCACCUUUGGGGGGAUUUGGCCACUGAUGUAAUCAAAGAAAGGGAAAUGGAGCAAAGAGAUCGAAUAUGAAAUCAUAGUGGCAAAUGUAAAGUGAAGGUAAAGCCACACUGAUACUUACAUCUAUCAAUAAUGGAUCAAAUAUUUUCACCUGAUAUUACUGCUUUAAAUUCCAAGCCCACAAACAUACUGAUCUGAUUUGUUCAAUGACUUAUUGUUUUCAAUAAGAUGUGGGCCAACUACUAUCAUUACUGAAAAAUACAUAGGACCACUAGAAUACUGGACAAUAAUUUACUUUACAAAUAAAAUGCCAUAAAAAUGACCUGUAAAGAGGGACUGAGGAUCCUUUCUGAAGUUGAGAGUCUAGUUAAACACAGAUGCCAUCAUAAAUUCCUUGAAAACCAAGGUUUGUGUCCAGUCUGACGCUUUCAGUCAUGUUGAUUUGAUCCUUUUUUUUACAUGUUAACUGCAACAUAACAGAAAAAAUAUUGGUUUACCUUUCAAAUCCAAUUUUGCCUCAACUGUGAUCUGUUUCCUAUCUUGGAUGUAGUUAUUAAAGGCUUUAAUCUAGUUUCUUUGUAAUGCUUGUAAUAUUUACUUAAAACAAAACCUUUUUGAUACAAACCUCAUUUUAAAAAUGUGGCCAAGUGUUUUUUUUUUUUUUUUUUUUUUUUGCCCAAGAUUUACUUUGGUAUGCAGCUUUCUUCAGCUUACAUGUGCUCUUUGGAGUAGUAUUGGUCAUCUGGAUUCUAACACAAGCAGAGGCAAACAGCCCAGAAAUAAGCAGGGGUUGUUAAAACACACAAGGAGCUGAGUGAAAGAUGCAUUGACCAAAUCAGAGAAAACAGACAUGAUGAUACCAGGAAAGCAAAACACGACAUUAACUCUUCUGAAAGAUUACCAACGAAAACACAAAUGAUUUGACUUAAGUAUAAAUCAAAAUGUUACGUUAUGUAUUUUUUUUAAUAAAGUUUAUGGUUACAGCUCGUCUGCUAUAGAUUUAGACUGCUGGGGGUACUGGCACAUUGAGUACCUUUCUCUCCUUCUCCAUCCUCUUACUGUCUGUGCCAUUAACUUUGAAUCAUCAUGUCCUAUUAAAGUCACUGAUACACAGUCUUUUCUUGGAGUCCAUCAUGCUGAAGGAUCCUUUGGAUAGCUGCUGCAGACAUUUUGCUGCUGUGGACCUGCCUGCUUUCAGCUGCUUCAGUGACAUUCAUCAGUCUCACCUCCGUCCAUCUCUCUCUUUCUGCAUCUCCCUCUAUCCUCUCUCUAAACCCAAUGAAGUAACGGCAGAUGACUCUCUAACAUCAGUCUGGUUCUGCUCAAGGUUUCUGCCUGUUAAAAGAAAGUUUUCCUCUCCACCGUAACUUGCUAAAAUGACGAUUCACAUGAUUUUCUGAGAUCACGUUGAUGCAUCUGAUCCCA